UGUUAAUGAUGAAUAAUUCCAAUACCAUCUUUCGGCUGAUAUUAUUUGAUGAUUCAUAUUUUCUGAUAGUAAUA
rnacentral:snoRNA from 1 species